AGUGAACGCUGGCGGUAGGCCUAACACAUGCAAGUCGAACGGCAGCACAGUAAGAGUUUGCUCUUACGGGUGGCGAGUGGCGGACGGGUGAGGAAUACAUCGGAAUCUACUUUUUUGUGGGGGAUAACGUAGGGAAACUUACGCUAAUACCGCAUACGACCUACGGGUGAAAGCAGGGGAUCUUCGGACCUUGCGCGAUUGAAUGAGCCGAUGUCGGAUUAGCUAGUUGGCGGGGUAAAGGCCCACCAAGGCGACGAUCCGUAGCUGGUCUGAGAGGAUGAUCAGCCACACUGGAACUGAGACACGGUCCAGACUCCUACGGGAGGCAGCAGUGGGGAAUAUUGGACAAUGGGCGCAAGCCUGAUCCAGCCAUACCGCGUGGGUGAAGAAGGCCUUCGGGUUGUAAAGCCCUUUUGUUGGGAAAGAAAAGCAGCAGGUUAAUACCCCGCUGUUCUGACGGUACCCAAAGAAUAAGCACCGGCUAACUUCGUG
rnacentral:rRNA from 1 species